rnacentral:lncRNA from 1 species
UCUGGAUCAGCAUUCAUAUAUGAUGAAUUAAGAGUAUUAGUCUUAGCUGGCUGUUCCUUGAUAUACUGAUUUAGGGGCUUUCAAUUCCCUCCCUGGAAUGGUGAUAUCCAUCAUGGUAAUCCUGAUGAUCUAGAGAGGGGCAAUUGCCCACAUGCUCAACAACUGGAUUAAUUCUUUCACUGGAAGUGCAAGUGAGCCCAUUGUGGAAAUGUAUUUCCAUAAGGUGCCUGUCCCAUGACCAGAAAUCACAGAAGCAGCAAAAGUUGAAAGUUGAAACAGACAGAUAUUUAGCAGGAAGUUGUAUGGGAAGGUCUUCUAUACGUAUUACACUUGUGACCUGAUCCUUAGUCGUUAUAGCUACAGUUACAACUGUAGCUUAGUGGUUGUGCAUUCUAUGCAACUUGGCCAGGGAAGGCAGCACUGUCAGGCAUAAGAAGAUGAACUUGGGGUUAGGACUCUCACCCUCUCCCCACUCUCAGUGGCGCAUGUUGCAUUCCAGGCAUAGUACAUUUCAACAGGUACAGCUAGGAAGGAAGGACAAUGGGACAGUGGAGACUGAGUAGUUCCCCUUCACCUAGGGAUAUGAAGUAACUCACUCAUUCUGGAGGGACGUUCCAUUACAAAUUUCAGUAGAUAAGGCCUUUCCCAGGCAUGAUGAGACUUGGUGUUCACAGCAGUAAAGCACACUGAUCUACAGUGAGAGUUGGGGCAAUGGCUGUCUCCCAAGGCCUUAAGACUUCCAUAAUUUUAUGGCAUUGGGUAUCUUGACAGGGGUUCCCAGUCUGGCAUAUGGGACAACAGGCCUUUUUGGUUGAACAGUUAAAUGCACUCAAGCCUAGGAUAGUGCUUUAGCUCACCAGGCCACAGAAGUUUUACCUGUUAAUAAUUUAAUCUGCUGCUUUAACAUUCCUUUCUUCCUUUCUACCAACCUUGCUGCUUACAGAUAAUAUGGCAGAUGGAACUUCCAUUCAGUGUCGUGUUCUUUUGCCUAUAUCAUGAUUUUCAGAUCAUGUCCUUUGAAAUAUGACCCAAAUCACUGUCUGUCUGACAAGAAUAUGUGUACAUGUUAUUCAGCCUCUUUAAUUCCAUGAGGGUGGGAGCAUGGUUUGCAUGGCAACAGGGAAGUUUGGGUUAGGCCAAAAGAGGUAUCCACUCAAUUUAAGGAUUUUUAGAAUGCUAACUUGGAGAAAGGGAGCCAUGUACUCAAUUUGCCAAUCCCUUUACCAGUUGGGAACUCUGGUGGAUUGCCCAAGACUCCUGAGACAACUGCGGUGGGAGUUGUUUGAGCACAUAUAAGACACACUGUUGCUGCAUUAACCAAGUUACUGUAUUUCAAAAAAAAAAAAAAAUCCAGCAAUAUUACAUUCCAGUAAUAUGUCAUCCCAUUUAAGCACAAUGGUGAUGGCUGUUCUUCUUAUGCACCAAGUCUAUUUUAUCUACUGAAGGGACAGCUAUAUCAAUAAGCUAUAUCAAAUUUUUUUCAUUAUGUUUCCUGAAUUAAGGGUUGCUCCACUGGCUGAGGCUGUUUUUUGCUGUGCUUUUGCUUUUCUUUGUGUUAGGGCUCUGAUGGCUGGGAGAAAUUUGUGUUUCAUUCUCGAUCACCAUAAUAUCCCUCUCUCCACUCUUUUCACUUUCCCAGGGAUUCUACUUCUUAUGAUCUCAAUCAGGAUUUGUGACAAGCAUUCAUACAUUAAUUUGUGUCAUCUUGUACCUUCUUAACUUUGCAAAACACACACUAAGUUCUCAAACUUAUCCUGCUUUCCUACCUUGCUGCCAGCCCCCAAACUAGCAAAGCAGUCCUUCUCUAACCUCAGCUCUUUUUCCAACUUUCUACCUUGAGGUUCAGUCUCUAGUUGGGCAUUGAUGACAAGCAGACCUGCUCACAGCGGGGUGGCAGCCAUGCAUUUAUCUUUUCUGCAGGGUACUAUGCACAAUUCCUCAAACAAACACAUUAAACCUGAGGUGUUCUCUGGUGUCCCUUGUAAUCAGGUGGUGAUUCACAAGCACCUAACGUACAAAUCACCCUUCCCACAUAGAGGUCAAUGGCCAAGCCAGGAGAGACUGAAGAAAGAAGUAAACCACCCCCAACAUGUCAGCUUUAAUGCGGAAGAGAACUAACACAACGAGGCUUGUCUUGGGUGGCUCAAGUGAGUAGAUCUCCAGCCAUCAAAAUCUUUCAUAUAGAGGAUUUAACAAGAUUCAGUCAAAUAUACCAUCUCAAGAACACAUUACUCUCUCAAGCCUACAUCUGUGAAGUGGCUCUGAGUGCAGAAGAGUGAGUGGAACAUACAUUUUGAGGACAGAGGAGAUUGUGAGGAACCUCUGAUUGGCUGGGCACAGCUCACAGAUCAACCAGAGAUCACAUCCUCUCAAUGCAUAGGGUGUGACUGUGAAGACUAAGUUAGGCAGUAAAUAGAAAACGUUUAGCACAGUGCCUAUAUACUGGAAAACCAAAUCUUUUUGUGAAGUACUUAUAGCUUUAUCCCAAACAAUCCCCUGUCCACUAAUAUUGCCAAUUCAGUCCAUAAUGUCUAUUGUCCUAAAUAGGAGUUGGCAUAGCAGACCAAAGAAAAGUCAUCAAAUUACUACACUUUAUCAUGAAAAGCCACAGCCCAGAUGUAAGACAAAAAGUUUGCAAGAAUACUUAACUAUAGCAGUGUUUCUCACCUGCAAGAAAGUAAAGAAUCACAUUGAGAUUGGAUAGGAAAAGAAAUUGGAGGGUAACCAAAAUGUUAGAAGUUAGCUAAAGUCUUUGAGAACCUGAUAUUAAAGGGAACCAGUGCCUGGUUCCCAGUUGGACCUUUGGGAGGCAGCAAUUUCAGUGUAGUCCUCAUGCCUUGGCAAGGGCACUAAAAUAAACUUCUCAUCUACAAGCUGUUUGGGAUGCUGAGGCAGGAGUGGGAAGAUGUUGUCCUAAUGAACACCCUGGGAGCACAGAGUAGUUUUGGAGAGCUGUCAACUGCCCCUGAUUUCUAGAGGAUUGUAUGAAUGUAAAUUAAAAGGAAUAUAAAAGGAAUAAAGUACCUAAGACUUAAAGCAUCUCACCAUUAUGACAAAGAAAAUAACCAAGAGUGGUUCAUUUGGGCCAUACAUCCAGGGGUUGGUUUAGAACAGAGGCAUCUUAACACAUGACAGCUGGAACCGCAAAUAUGACUAAUAGUGAAAUUUCUCACCAACAUGCCAUAAAACUAUCUUAAACCAAUAGAUCUUAAAAGAAAAUCUGGUUAUAGGACCUAAAUGAAAAUAUACUAAGCAGACACAGCAUAAAUCUGAUUUGACCAAGUUUACCUGGGAUUGACCAAAAAUAGGUAUUUCUUCUAAAAACAGUCAUAUUUUUGCAUACUUGAAAUUUGUGACCUGUGAUUUUGAAUGCAGAACACUAAAUAAUAGCUACUAAUUGUCAUAUUAGAAAUUCAACAAAUCUUUUUUUUAAAGUGGAGAAGUACAGAUUUUUAGAAUGAUCUUAUAUAGAUAGAACAUAGCUAUUAAGAAAAUAUUUUCCUUCACAUUGAAAAAUUAGUAAUUUCAUUACUCUGUCUGCCUCCUAUGAAUGUCAGUAUUAUAGAAGACUAGUGAAAAGCAGUGAACAAGAUACUGUAUCAUGAAAGCAAUUUAACAUCAUGGUUAACACUGCAGUUAAGUAACAAAGCAUUGAGUGGUCCCUGGAGGAACACCUACCCAUAGCUUAAGCCUUAGGAUUGAGAAAUUGCACUUUAGAUCAUGUUAUGGCAAACUUAGGAAGGCUUGCACCAUAACUGGGCCACAGUUUAUGAUAAGCUAAAAUUAGUUAACUUGAAAAGGUCUGUGUUUAGACUAAUUCAUGUUUCUGUUCAUGUAAGUCAUUCAACAGUGGAAAAAAAUUUAAUACAAUGAAAACAGAAAACUAAAAUAAUAUAUAAACUAUUAAAACAAAUAAAUUCUGUAUUUAAUUAGCUCAUUUGCCUAAGGAUAUCAUAUAAGAUAUAAGUACUACAUUUUAUUUCUGUAUUAAGGAUCUGUGAACUAGACAAAUGUAUUAUCAGUAGGAAGUUUUGAAGCAGGAAUGUCUUCCAGAGAAUGUAUAGUACUUGAUGUGCAUUUAAAGGGUUGACUCUUUUCAGACUUGAACCCUACCAAGUAAUAGUGAGGAAAUAAUGUGCUACUUCAAGUACUAAGUAACUAGUACUGCAUCAAACAAUGUCACAAAGACUAUUUCCUAGUUGCCUCACAUGGACCGUGCAGUCUUUUCUAAUGAUGACUUACACUGAAUAAUGUAUGUCUGUAGCCAGCUGCCAUUUGGCUCAGAUUUCACGACGCAGUAGGGAGUCUGGCUUAUGUAUAAUGGAGAUACGAGGCUUCCUCAAACCUUCCCCGACAUUUCCUAUGUCUCUAAAUUCCUGGUCUCCUUCUGAGUUUGAUAUUCACUUCUUCAUUUCAUAUCAAUAACUCAUCAUAAUUAAAAAUAUCACUCACAGGCUACAUGUCUCAGGACUCAAAGUGCCAGAUAUAUGCAGCUAGAUUUCCACUUGAGAUUUUAGCUAGUCCAUGAACUUAAAACACAGAGUUGGAUUUUCUUUCUUUAUCCCAUAUGGCUGCCCAGGACAGAUUAUUUUUUCCUGUUCCUAUAUAUAUAUACAGUUCCUAUAUUGCCCUAAACUAUUCAAUUAACUAAUAGAGAAAAUUUUAUUUUCUACUACAUAAAAAUAUAAGUACUUAGGUUUAUACAUUUUUAGAUGCUUUGAGGGAAAAAAAUUAAAUGCCUUAAACAGUAGGAAGUGUUUAUUAAUUUUUCUAAUUAAAAAGACCAGAUAUAGGUCAGGUUUCAAGAACAGGCUGAUCUAAGAUUCACCUUAAAUUCUCUGUGAAAAUGCCUAACAUGAUAAUGAAUUUAGCUGUAUGGCAAGGUGGGUGGAAUUAGUCCACUGACUUAGAUCAAUAAGGACCCAACUCUGAAGUUGGGGGUGUGGAUAAUUCUGCCCAAAUCACUUAGUUAAUGUAUUAAGGUAGGAUAUAAUUUUGGGAUCUACCCACCAUUUGUACACGUCUCUGAUGGCAUUAAGGUACAUUUCAUAGGACAAUAUAUUAUCUUUUUAAAAUGCCUAAGCCAUUUUAGGAGUUUUAGUCGUGGCUCAGCAGUUAACAAACCUGGCUAGCAUCCAUGAGGAUGUAGGUUCAAUCCCUGGCCUCGCUCAGUGGGUUAAGGAUCUGCUGUUGCCAUGUGCUAUGGUGUGGGUCGCAGAUUCAGCUCAGAUCUGGCGUUGCUGUGGCCUAGGCUGGAGGCUACAUCUCUGAUUGGAACCCUAGCCUGGGAAUCUCCACAUGCCAUGCGUGUGGCC